rnacentral:pre_miRNA from 1 species
UCACCUCCACAGGCUGGCCGGCCCCCAGGCUGGGGGCUGAGCGAAUCUCUUCAAAAGGCUCACCCUCAAGCAGGACUAGGAGC